UACGGGGGGAGCAAGCGUUGUUCGGAUUUACUGGGCGUAAAGGGCGCGUAGGCGGUCAGCACAAGUCAGUUGUGAAAUCUCCGGGCUUAACUCGGAAAGGUCAACUGAUACUGUGCGACUAGAGUGCAGAAGGGGCAACUGGAAUUCUCGGUGUAGCGGUGAAAUGCGUAGAUAUCGAGAGGAACACCCGCGGCGAAGGCGGGUUGCUGGGCUGACACUGACGCUGAUGCGCGAAAGCCAGGGGAGCAAACAGG
rnacentral:rRNA from 1 species